AUGAGCAGGAGAGAAGGAGGAUCAGAGAGGAGCUGCAGGGGUCUGCUGCCCUGAUGGAGGGGAGAGUGGAGCUGAAGGAGUGAGUAGAAGAGCUUGAGCACAAGUGCAUCCAAGGAGAGACAGGCCGUGCUGGCCAGUUAAGUAAAGUGCAUCAGGAAUCCAAAGAGGCGCAACGUCAGCACAGAACCCCAGAAACAGAGCCAUGAGGAAAAGAUGGUGAGAAACGCAGCAAGUGAAGGAGUAAUAGUAGUAAAAAACGCAGCGAGUCAAGCAGGAAUGGU